CUAGCCUUGGAGCUGGGUUGUUUCUUGAUGAAACAGUCUGUAGGCAGGAAAAGUUAUUAAGAGGAAAGAAGUAUUUCCCUUUUCUGUUUGUUUGUUUUUCCUUCCAUAAAAUAUUCAGACCUUGCCUCUUCCUGCAAGACUCUAUGGACAAACUGAGAGCUGGUUGCCAGUAACACAAGAGUGAAACCGGUGCUGCUCAGAUAGGAAGAGAUUUUUAUUCAAACUGCUUAAAACUCCUGCUUUGUUGCUGCUUGUGCUCUACAUGCUUCACAUCUAACCAGAAAGGACUAGUUAAACCAAAGCAUGAAAAAGCCUCAAGACCUCUAAGAAGUCUUCCAGAACAAGCAGAGAAGAAACUCAAAACAUCAGGCAUCCAUCCCCCUAAGGUCACCUCCUGAGGCUGUGGGGGUAUACACACCAGCCAAAGGGAGACCAUGCACUAUGGAGCACUCCUGGUCCUACAGUGUGCUGAAUGAGUUCCAGAGGGAGCAUGGGCUACAGAAGGAAACCCCACAGACCAUGUCCAACCACAGGAAGAUACAGAAGGCAGUCAGAGACAGGCUAUUGACCAUGGACCUGCUCCCUAAAGACAACUGCCGUGCUGUCUGGGACCAGAUCUACCUACGUAAAGACCACAGAGACUUGAACCGGCUCAUAGCUCAUGGCAUACUCCCAGUGAAGGCAUAGAGGCACAGAGCAAGGCAAGAGACUAGGCCCAGCUACCCCAGGGAAAUCUGCCAAGGUGAGAACGAGACCAUUGACCACCUCCUGUGGUUCUGCCCCUAUGCCAAGGGACUGUGGGAAAAAGUUAGCUGGCUCCUUGAGGAAGUGACAGGAGUCAGGCUGAUGACAAGGGAGGAGGUGCUGUAUGGACAUGUGACCAAACAUCAGGGGCUCUAGACAGUUCACUUUGACCAGUUUGUCCCCUGCAUCAGGAGCACCGUCACAAUGCAGGAACCUCCUGUUAUACAGGCACAUUGAGCUCAAGGAAAUGGACUGUGUCAGAAUGUUUCUGAGUGAACUCCAGUCCUACUACUGGAAAGCGGUGGGAGAAGACAGAGAAGAUGCAGCCAGUUCCACCUGGAAAAGUAACAUUUGGCACAGGCUGUUCAAAGACCCCCUGGGAGGAGAAGUGAACAGGGAGAACAAAGAGGGCAACAAUGCAACUAGACCCGGAGACAGCGAGAAGAACAACAACAGGAUCAACAGCAGUGGAAGUGACAGCGACACCGACAGUGACAAGGACAGUGACUGAAUUGAGAAUGUUCACUGAGGACUAAGGGACAGUUUCUUCUGGGGAUCCAGAAUGAAGAAGGUGGCAAGUAAGACCCUAUACAAAAAGAAACAGGCUGGGGCAGGGGGAUGCCAGACAUCCAUCUGUUUCUGUGGGCAUGGUACACAAGUCAGAUCUGCAAGCUAGUGAUUGGGCCAGCAACCAAAACAGCAUGUCUUGUCAAUUAUUUUACAGGUCACCUUCUGAGCCUGUGGGGGGUGUACACACCAGCCAGAACUGAGGACUAAGGGACUAUGAUUGGGUUAGAGAAGGGUAGAGGGUAGGUGCGUGGUGGUGCAGGGGAGUGGAUGUAUUUAUUGUAAUGGGUGUGGAGGUUUCUUAAUAAGGUUUAAGAUGUGUGAUGGAAAGAUUAUGAUAGAGGAUGUAGACAUAUAUAUAUAUAAUUGCUUUUGUUUUUUCUUUUAAAAAAAUCUGCAUCUAUGAGAAGACCACAGAGACUUGAACAGGCUAAUAGCUCUCUGUGCACUCCCAGUGAAGGUGUGGAGGCACAGUGCGAGAUGAGAGACUAGCUCCAGCUACCCCAGGGAAAGCUGCCAAGAUUGGAGCGAGAUAAUCGACCACCUCCUAUGGCACUGCCCUGCCCCUAUGCCAAGGGAGUGUGGAAAAAGGUAAGUUGGCUCCUUGACAAAGUGACAGGAGCCAAACUGAUGACAAGGGAGGUGGCACUGUACAGAUACCUAACUAAACAUCAAGGGUCCCCGACAACCCACUUCGACUAGUUUGUGUCCUGUGUCAGAAGUGUGCCCUGUGGCAAUGCAGGAACCUACUGAUGUACAGACACACUGAUCUAAAGGACACAGACUAUGUUAAAAUGUUUCUAAGAGAACUCUUCCUACUACCAGAUGGGAAAAGACAGAGAAGACACAGCCAACUCCACCUGGAAAAUGGACACUUGGCACAGGCAGUCAAAGAACCCUCAGGAGGGGGAGCGAACAAGGAGAAUGAAGAGGACAAUGACACAAUUGUACCUGGAGACAAGGAAGACAGCAUCAGAAUCAGCAGAAGUGGAAGUGACAGUGACAGCGACAAGGACAGGGAAUGAACUGAGAAUGUAAACCCCAAAUCAGGGCUUGGACUAAAAGACUGUGAUUGGGUUAGGGAAGGGCAGCAGGUGGGUGUGCAGGGGUGUAGGGGAGUGGGUGCAUUUACGUAACAGGUGCACAGUUUCUUAAUGAGGUUUUAAGGUGUGUAAUGGAAAGUUUUAUGCUAUAUGAAGUGUGUGUGUGUGUGUGUGUGUAUGUGUGUGUGUGUGUGUGUGUGUGUAUUUGGUUGGUGGUUUUUUUGAAAUCUGUAACUAAUUGCAACAAAAUGUCCUCUUCACUGUCGCUGUCUAUUUCCCUACUGGGGGGAAUCUUGAAAGAUCCUGUGCCAAGUGUCCCUCUGCCAGACGGAUUUGGCUAGAUCCUCACUGUCCUCUGCUACCGAUUUCUGGUAGUAGGACUGGAGUUCAGUCAAAGCCAUUUUAACACAGCCUACCUCCUCGAGGUUCAUGUGUCUGUACAUCAGGAGUUUCCUGGACUUCCACAGGGCACUCCUGACACAGGACAUGAACUGAUUGAAGUAGGCCGAUUGGCUCCCCUAGUGUUUAGUCAAAUACCUGUACAGCACUGCCUCUCUUGACAGCUAUCUUUCCUCUGUCACUGCUUUGCAGAGCCACUUUUCCUUCUUCCACACCUCCUUGGCAUACGAGCAGAGCCAUAGGAGGUGAUCAGUAGUCUUUGUGGCUCCUUGGCAGGUUGCCCUCAGGCAGCUUGGUCUCCCCAGUUGUCCUUCUCUAUGUCUUCGGGCUUUCACUGGGAGGGCUCAGUGGGCUAUCACCCAGUUCAGGUCUCUGUGGUUUUUAUGCAGGUCCUUGUGGAAGAUGUGUUCCCACACAGCUUGGCAAGCAUCAUCCAGAAGCAGGUCCAUGGAUGACAUGAUGUCUCUGCUUCUCACUGCCUCCUGUAUCUUCUAGUGGUUGGCCAUGGUUGUGGGGUCUGCACUCUGUAGACUGUACAUGCUGUGCAACUUGUUCAGAGUCUCAUAGAACCACGGUUGGCCCAUGAGCCAUGGUCUUCCAUUGAUUGGUGUGAACACCCCCCAUUGUCUCAGGAGGUGCCUUGCAAAAUAUCUCACGAGACAGGCUGUUUUGGACUCUGUGCCCAUCGCCAAUUUACAGAAACGGGCAGCGACAGUGAAGAGGACAUCAAGACAACCAAAUCAGAAGACAGCUGUGCGGGCCGGGAGUGGUCUGAGGCCCUCGGGGGCAAGCGGCGGGCUGUGGCCAGCAGCCCUGGCACGCGGGUCGGGGAAUGCAGGCCGGUGGACUAGAAUUAGGCACAGACGCUUAGCGGUUGAUUAAAGAUUAUUUUACUUA